AGAACGAACGCUGGCGGCAGGCUUAACACAUGCAAGUCGAACGCUCGUAGCAAUACGGGAGUGGCAGACGGGUGAGUAACGCGUGGGAACAUACCCUCCGGUUCGGAAUAGCUCAGGGAAACUUGGAUUAAUACCGGAUACGGCUGAGAGGCGAAAGAUUUAUCGCCGGAGGAUUGGCCCGCGUUCGAUUAGCUUGUUGGUGAGGUAACGGCUCACCAAGGCUAUGAUCGAUAGCUGGUCUGAGAGGAUGAUCAGCCACAUUGGGACUGAGACACGGCCCAAACUCCUACGGGAGGCAGCAGUGGGGAAUUUUGGACAAUGGGCGCAAGCCUGAUCCAGCCAUGCCGCGUGCAGGAUGAAGGCCUUCGGGUUGUAAACUGCUUUUGUACGGAACGAAAGGCUUUCUCUAAUAAAGAGGCUCAUGACGGUACCGUAAGAAUAAGCACCGGCUAACUACGCGCCAGCAGCCGCGGU
rnacentral:rRNA from 1 species